rnacentral:rRNA from 1 species
AGCGAACGCUGGCGGCAGGCCUAACACAUGCAAGUCGAACGAACUCUUCGGAGUUAGUGGCGGACGGGUGAGUAACACGUGGGAACGUGCCUUUAGGUUCGGAAUAACUCAGGGAAACUUGUGCUAAUACCGAAUGUGCCCUUCGGGGGAAAGAUUUAUCGCCUUUAGAGCGGCCCGCGUCUGAUUAGCUAGUUGGUGAGGUAAAGGCUCACCAAGGCGACGAUCAGUAGCUGGUCUGAGAGGAUGUUCAGCCACAUUGGGACUGAGACACGGCCCAAACUCCUACGGGAGGCAGCAGUGGGGAAUCUUGCGCAAUGGGCGAAAGCCUGACGCAGCCAUGCCGCGUGAAUGAUGAAGGUCUUAGGAUUGUAAAAUUCUUUCACCGGGGACGAUAAUGACGGUACCCGGAGAAGAAGCCCCGGCUAACUUCGU